GACGAACGCUGGCGGUGUGCUUAACACAUGCAAGUCGAACGGUAAGGCCCUUUCGGGGGUACACGAGUGGCGAACGGGUGAGUAACACGUGAGUAACCUGCCCUCAUCUCUGGGAUAACAGUCGGAAACGGUUGCUAAUACUGGAUAUGAGCUUGCAAGACAUCUUGUGGGUUGGAAAGAUUUUUUUGGUUGGGGAUGGACUCGCGGCCUAUCAGCUUGUUGGUGAGGUAGUGGCUCACCAAGGCUUCGACGGGUAGCCGGCCUGAGAGGGCGACCGGCCACAUUGGGACUGAGAUACGGCCCAAACUCCUACGGGAGGCAGCAGAGGGGAAUAUUGCACAAUGGACGGAAGUCUGAUGCAGCAACGCCGCGGGCGGGAUGACGGCCUUCGGGUUGUAAACCGCUUUCAAUUGUGACGAAGCUUUUUGUGACGGUAGCAGUAGAAGAAGCACCGGCUAACUACGUG
rnacentral:rRNA from 1 species